rnacentral:lncRNA from 1 species
UUCCCUUUUUCUAUUCUGUAACAAGAGUAUUUAUUUUUGCCUAUAAAUAGGCUGCUCUAAAUCACUCAAUUUGUCAAUCAAAACACAUUUAAUUAAAGAUUCUUCAGGGCCCUUAUUGCUGCCUCUCCCUCAAGGGCUUCUCUCCUGCAUGCUUAUAUGUUGGGAAAGAAGCUCUAGCAGGGAGAGCCAAUAACAAGUGUCUUGUUUAACAACUUAUGUUGCUCUUCACAGUUCACAGGACAGUCUUUUUUCACUCUCCCUCAAAGGCUUCUGGCUUAAAAUGCCUUUUGUGCUAAUGCUAGAGGUCUUUCGAGUGAGAGUGAAUAAAUUCUGCCAUGAUAUAUAUAAUUGCAGAAUUAUGACUCAACAAAGAAACUGUUCUUCUUCAGGGCUCACGUGAACCUAAUAGCCUUAUAUAUGUAUUAAGAAAUUUAUUAAAUAUCUAUUAGUUACAGUAAUAUUUGACUGUGAAAUUCACCUCUUUUCUUUUGCCUUCUGAUUCCUAUGCAGUUAAGGUGGAUCAACGCUGUACAAUUGGCGGAAAAGUGCUCUACGAUCACGAUCAAGAGAGAGAGGAAUGAGGAUCUAGUUUUAACCCUGAAUUUUUUUAUCUUAAGGCUUAACUGAGUAAAGCU